GACGAACGCUGGCGGCGUGCUUAACACAUGCAAGUCGAACGGAAAGGCCCUGCUUUUGUGGGGUGCUCGAGUGGCGAACGGGUGAGUAACACGUGAGUAACCUGCCCUUGACUUUGGGAUAACUUCAGGAAACUGGGGCUAAUACCGGAUAGGAGCUCCUGCUGCACGGUGGGGGUUGGAAAGUUUCGGCGGUUGGGGAUGGACUCGCGGCUUAUCAGCUUGUUGGUGGGGUAGUGGCUUACCAAGGCUUUGACGGGUAGCCGGCCUGAGAGGGUGACCGGCCACAUUGGGACUGAGAUACGGCCCAGACUCCUACGGGAGGCAGCAGUGGGGAAUAUUGCACAAUGGGCGGAAGCCUGAUGCAGCAACGCCGCGUGCGGAAUGACGGCCUUCGGGUUGUAAACCGCUUUCGCCUGUGACGAAGCGUGAGUGACGGUAAUGGGUAAAGAAGCACCGGCUAACUACGUG
rnacentral:rRNA from 1 species